UACGAGGUGGACAAACGUUAUUCGGAUUUACUGGGCUUAAAGCGUGCGUAGGCGGCUCAGAAAGUUGGGUGUGAAAGCCCUCGGCUCAACCGAGGAAUUGCGCUCAAAACUACUGAGCUUGAGGGAGAUAGGGGAGAGCGGAACUGAUGGUGGAGCGGUGAAAUGCGUUGAUAUCAUCAGGAACACCGGUGGCGAAGGCGGCUCUCUGGAUCUCUUCUGACGCUGAGGCACGAAAGCUAGGGGAGCAAACGGG
rnacentral:rRNA from 1 species